GUAGGUGAACCUGCGGAAGGAUCAUUACUGAAAAGGGACUCCGGUCCCUGGGACAAGCCCCCGCCGAGCCCCUGGGCUCCCCGGGUGGUGACACCCCUUACCCUUUGUUUACCUUACCUCUGUUGCUUUGGCAAGGCUCCUGCCCGGGUGGUUCUGCCAGAGGGCCCCAACUCGUGGAUAGUUUAUGUUUGUCUGAGUACGAUAUAAUCGUUUACAACUUUUAACAAUGGAUCUCUUGGCUCUG
rnacentral:misc_RNA from 1 species